rnacentral:rRNA from 1 species
UACGUAGGGGGCAAGCGUUGUUCGGAAUUAUUGGGCGUAAAGCGCUCGUAGGCGGGACAGGAAGUUCGUGUUGAAAGACCUCGGCUCAACUGAGGGACCGGCUCGAAUACUCUUGUUCUUGAGGCAAUCAGAGGGUGAUGGAAUUCCCGGUGUAGCGGUGAAAUGCGUAGAUAUCGGGAAGAACACCCGUGGCGAAGGCGGCUCUCUGGGACGGUACUGACGCUGAGACGCGAAAGCGUGGGGAGCGAACAGG